CCGCUUCAAUGUAUGCAUCUCCCAAUCAACUUCUUUCAACCAUUGACUGUGAGGAAGGUGGAGACCAGUAUAAGGGCGGAAGCCUGCAGAUACAGCUGGAGAAAGGCACUGCACUGGGACUCCUCCAGGUGGAAAGGUCAGGGUGAGGACAAAGAACUAGAAGGUGCAGUUGGAAAGCGUCUUCGGGUUAACAGUUGUUGAGCUGCACAUACAAACCCUCGGCCAAGUCACGUGGAGCAACUCGUGUGUGAGAUGACCUGGACGGAUGUGUAUGAGGAAUUGUUUGAGUACCAAAAUCCAUGACUGAAUCCAUCCACUCCUGACACUUGAGGCCAUGAAAGCUGUGGUCUGUGUGUAAGUGUGUGCAUUGGUCAAGACUAUUUAUUUUUAAAUUUUGAUGAUAUUGGACCAGUGAGAUUUUAUCCAGAGUAAAGUGGAAGCACAACCCUUUGGAUACAUAAUCUAUUCCAGGAACAUUAUUCAAUAAGAUUUUUGCUUCAAGACUUGAAUUGAGCAGUGGUCCAUGAUGGUGCUUAUUUAUAUUUGAUGCAACUCCUUGCUAGCUCUAAGUUACAACUUGAAAUGUAAGCAAGUGUGGAUGAAAGAAAUUUACAAUUCCACAAAAGAUUCUCAUGACGGGUGCUGCAAAAUGAAACGUUUAACUCCCACGAAAACCCAGAUGGUUCCUACAGUGAUCCUAUCACGUUAUGAAUGGUCAAAGGAAAGAUUCUACAACUCGACACCAUAAAAAUGGAUGGACAGUCCUUUGCUGAAGCGACUCACUGUGUUUUGAUUGAAUCUAGAUUUGGAAGUUUUAUUCUGGUACUUUUGUUUUUCUCUCAAAGAAUCUAACUUUGAUUUUUGGAUUGAAGAAAAUGACGAUAUUGUCACUACCUUUCCUGAGUCUUCAAUUUAUCUUAAAUUGUGCAGUGAAAUUUGUGUAGCAUUGAAUUGCCUGAUCAAGAAAAGCUGUAGACUUGAAAAGGUAGAUUUGUGGCUUGCUGUCCUCUCUAUAAAGUAUUCUCUGAUGGGAUCAAGAUGAAGUAUUAACUAGUUUGUAAUGUCCUGUAGUUUGUCAUAGUUUGAUCCAAAUGGAGAGACUGCUUUCCUUCAAAGUAAAUUAGUCCUUUUAUUGAUAUGGCUUGUAUUUCUGAACAGACAUUGUAAAAUGUCACUUAUCUUUAUAUUUUACAAAUGUAUUUGGACACCGGUAAACACUUGUCCCGCACAGUUGUCAGGUGGAAUUUGUUGUAAUUGUAGUAAUGGAUAUUGUGUUUUAACAACUCACUGUAUAGUCACUAAAUUUGUAUCCCAAGUUCACCUGUUGUGUACACAGCUCCACGAAGCUUUCCUUCACUAGAAAGGAUCUAAUUCUGCUUUAAAAGGGAAGGGGGAAUUUUAUCCUAUUUAUUAUUCUGCUUAUGUAAAAUACUCAAGUGUUUGAAAACA